rnacentral:rRNA from 1 species
GUGCCAGCCGCCGCGGUAAAACGUAGGAGGCGAGCGUUAUCCGGAUUUACUGGGCGUAAAGCGCGUGCAGGCGGUUCGACAAGUUGGAUGUGAAAGCUCCUGGCUCAACUGGGAGAGGUCGUUCAAGACUGUCGGACUUGAGUGUGGUAGAGGGAGGUGGAAUUCCGGGUGUAGUGGUGAAAUGCGUAGAUAUCCGGAGGAACACCAGUGGCGAAAGCGGCCUCCUGGACCAUAACUGACGCUCAGACGCGAAAGCUAGGGUAGCAAACGGGAUUAGAUACCCUUGUAGUCC